rnacentral:rRNA from 1 species
GACGAACGCUGGCGGCGUGCCUAAUACAUGCAAGUCGAACGCUUCUUUCCUCCCGAGUGCUUGCACUCAAUUGGAAAGAGGAGUGGCGGACGGGUGAGUAACACGCGGGUAACCUACCCAUCAGAGGGGGAUAACACUUGGAAACAGGUGCUAAUACCGCAUAACAGUUUAUGCCGCAUGGCAUAAGAGUGAAAGGCGCUUUCGGGUGUCGCUGAUGGAUGGACCCGCGGUGCAUUAGCUAGUUGGUGAGGUAACGGCUCACCAAGGCCACGAUGCAUAGCCGACCUGAGAGGGUGAUCGGCCACACUGGGACUGAGACACGGCCCAGACUCCUACGGGAGGCAGCAGUAGGGAAUCUUCGGCAAUGGACAGAAGUCUGACCGAGCAACGCCGCGUGAGUGAAGAAGGUUUUCGGAUCGUAAAACUCUGUUGUUAGAGAAGAACAGGGACGUUAGUAACUGAACGUCCCCUGACGGUAUCUAACCAGAAAGCCACGGCUAACUACGUGCCAGCCGCCGCGGUAA